AUUGAACGCUGGCGGCAUGCCUUACACAUGCAAGUCGAACGGCAGCGCGGACUUCGGUCUGGCGGCGAGUGGCGAACGGGUGAGUAAUACAUCGGAACGUACCCUGUUGUGGGGGAUAACUAGUCGAAAGAUUAGCUAAUACCGCAUACGACCUGAGGGUGAAAGUGGGGGACCGGAAACGGCCUCAUGCAGCAGGAGCGGCCGAUGUCUGAUUAGCUAGUUGGUGGGGUAAAGGCCCACCAAGGCGACGAUCAGUAGCUGGUCUGAGAGGACGAUCAGCCACACUGGGACUGAGACACGGCCCAGACUCCUACGGGAGGCAGCAGUGGGGAAUUUUGGACAAUGGGGGCAACCCUGAUCCAGCAAUGCCGCGUGUGUGAAGAAGGCCUUCGGGUUGUAAAGCACUUUUGUCCGGAAAGAAAUCGCGCUGGUUAAUACCUGGCGUGGAUGACGGUACCGGAAGAAUAAGCACCGGCUAACCACGUG
rnacentral:rRNA from 1 species